ACUCCCGGCUGCGCAAAUAUUAGUCGUCGUGUCGUCGUCGUGUCGAAAAAAAUACCGUCAAAUAGAAAUAAAAUGUCGCGUUGCUAGGCCACGUAGCGUCUCGACUGACUCUCGCGAUCCGCUCGAUCAGCUGCUGCAUCGGUUCAGAAAUUUUUUCAACCAAGCGUAUCUAACGCUAAAUAAAAGCUGAGAAAAUACGGAAAUGUAAAAGAUGCGAGCUGAAUUGAUAACAUCGAUCACUUUUGAAACGCCUCCUUUCUUAAUCUGGCGCAAAUGUAAAAGUUUCAAGUUCCACACGUUUGCCGAAGAAAAUUAAGAAAAAUAAAUAUCACCGAGAGGCCACACCAACUCGGCAGGCUCAGCCCGCGGAGUUACUAAUAAAAUUAACACUUCCCCGGUGGAAAUCAGCCAUCAAACCCAACCAAAGUUCAACGUUUCACUCUUCUUUGACUCUGGCCCAGGCAAGCAAGGUCAAGACGACAAUUGCAACUCCAAAGGCUUUGUGAAUCCGGAAUGGAAAGAACCUUAAAUUAAAGUGGUUUUAGUAGUGCAGUUUAAUGAUGUGGUGAAUUUUGAUAAAUACCAUCAGUUGUCAUAGUAAUAAGAGAACAUUAGCAAUAGUAGUAUGUAAUGAUUUUUUUGUACAACAAGUUUUACGAAUAGCAAGACUAAUUGAUAUAAAAUUAAUAGAAAAUGAAACCUAAGAUAAGUGUAUUUAUUAUCAAAGUACCUAUUGAUAAAUUGUAAAUGCAAAACUUAUAACUUCCCUUUAUUGCAUUUCUCCCACGCUUAUGAUAUAGUUAUUACAUAGUUAUUCAUAGUAAAGAUACAUGGUACAUUAUAUUAAUAGAAAAUGCUAAACGAUAACUUUUUUACUUUUGUAAAAAG
rnacentral:lncRNA from 1 species